rnacentral:rRNA from 1 species
GUCGUCAGCUCGUGUCGUGAGAUGUUGGGUUAAGUCCCGCAACGAGCGCAACCCUUAUUAUCAGUUGCCAGCAUUCAGUUGGGCACUCUGGUGAGACUGCCGGUGACAAACCGGAGGAAGGUGGGGAUGACGUCAAAUCAUCAUGCCCCUUAUGACCUGGGCUACACACGUGCUACAAUGGACGGUACAACGAGUCGCGAAGUCGUGAGGCCAAGCUAAUCUCUUAAAGCCGUUCUCAGUUCGGAUUGUAGGCUGCAACUCGCCUACAUGAAGUUGGAAUCGCUAGUAAUCGCGGAUCAGCAUGCCGCGGUGAAUACGUUCCCGGGA